CUGGUUGAUCCUGCCAGAGGUUACUGCUAUCGAGGUUCGACUAAGCCAUGCGAGUCGAAUGUAGCAAUACAUGGCGUACUGCUCAGUAACACGUGGACAACCUGCCCUUAGGUCGGGUAUAAACCCGGGAAACUGGGUAUAAUCCCCGAUAGAUCUCGGCUGCUGGAAUGCACCGAGAUUGAAAGCUCCGGCGCCUAAGGAUGGGUCUGCGGCCUAUCAGGUAGUAGUGGGUGUAGCGUACCUACUAGCCUACGACGGGUACGGGUUGUGAGAGCAAGAGCCCGGAGAUGGAUUCUGAGACACGAAUCCAGGCCCUACGGGGUGCAGCAGGCGCGAAAACUUUACAAUGCUGGCAACAGCGAUAAGGGAACCUCGAGUGCCAGGUUACAAAUCUGGCUGUCGAGAUGCCUAAAAAGCAUUUCAUAGCAAGGGCCGGGCAAGACCGGUGCCAGCCGCCGCGGUAACACCGGCGGCUCGAGUGGUAACCGUUAUUAUUGGGUCUAAAGGGUCUGUAGCCGGCCGGAUAAGUCUCUUGAGAAAUCUGGCAGCUUAACUGUCAGGCUUUCAGGAGAUACUGUCUGGCUCGAGGCCGGGAGAGGUGAGAGGUACUUCAGGGGUAGGGGUGAAAUCUUGUAAUCCUUGAAGGACCACCAGUGGCGAAGGCGUCUCACCAGAACGGACCUGACGGCAAGGGACGAAAGCUAGGGGCACGAACCGUAUUAGAUACCCGGGUAGUCCUAGCCGUAAACGAUACUCGCUAGGUGUCGGCCACGCUGCGACCGUUGUCGGUGCCGUAGGGAAGCCGUGAAGCGAGCCACCUGGGAAGUACGGCCGCAAGGCUGAAACUUAAAGGAAUUGGCGGGGGAGCACCAC
rnacentral:rRNA from 1 species